rnacentral:rRNA from 1 species
AGCGGGCAUCUAAUUAGGACUAAAGGAUGGCGGGUAACGGAUGGGGAUGCGUCCGAUUAGCUGGACGGCGGGGUAACGGCCCACCGUGGCGACGAUCGGUAGGGGUUCUGAGAGGAAGGUCCCCCACAUUGGAACUGAGACACGGUCCAAACUCCUACGGGAGGCAGCAGUGAGGAAUAUUGGUCAAUGGGCGAGAGCCUGAACCAGCCAAGUAGCGUGAGGGAAGACUGCCCUAUGGGUUGUAAACCUCUUUUGUGCGGGGAUAAAGUGAGGGACGUGUCCCUCAUUGCAGGUACCGCACGAAUAAGGACCGGCUAAUUCCGUGCCAGCAGCCGCGGUAAUACGGAAGGUCCGGGCGUUAUCCGGAUUUAUUGGGUUUAAAGGGAGCGCAGGCCGUCCUUUAAGCGUGCUGUGAAAUGCCGCGGCUCAACCGUGGCACUGCAGCGCGAACUGGAGGACUUGAGUACGCACGAGGUAGGCGGAAUUCGUGGUGUAGCGGUGAAAUGCUUAGAUAUCACGAAGAGCUCCGAUUG